rnacentral:rRNA from 1 species
AGCGAACGCUGGCGGCAGGCCUAACACAUGCAAGUCGAACGAACUCUUCGGAGUUAGUGGCGGACGGGUGAGUAACACGUGGGAACGUGCCUUUUGGUUCGGAAUAACUCAGGGAAACUUGUGCUAAUACCGAAUGUGCCCUUCGGGGGAAAGAUUUAUCGCCAUUAGAGCGGCCCGCGUCUGAUUAGCUAGUUGGUGAGGUAACGGCUCACCAAGGCGACGAUCAGUAGCUGGUCUGAGAGGAUGACCAGCCACACUGGGACUGAGACACGGCCCAGACUCCUACGGGAGGCAGCAGUGGGGAAUCUUGCGCAAUGGGCGAAAGACUGACGCAGCCAUGCCGCGUGAAUGAUGAAGGUCUUAAGAUUGUAAAAUUCUUUCACCGGGGACGAUAAUGACGGUACCCGGAGAAGAAGCCCCGGCUAACUUCGUG